CAUAGAAAUGUAAGAUGGAAUAAACCCUUCCCUCCCUCCCAGGUUGUUUUGGGCCAUGGUGUUUCAUCACAGUGACAGAAACCUAACUAAGACAAACUGUGCCUCCUUCUUUGCUUUUAUAAUUUCACAUGUGUGAAUAUGCUUAUCAAAAAACAAUUUGCGCUCUCAUGGAUGGAAAAUACAGGCACAAGAUGAACAAAGAAACAAACGAUAGUAUGGAGGGCUGCAACGACAUGAAAGAUUCAGACACCAUGGAGAAAACCAUGGCCUGUGAGGACCUGCUGCUGGGGGUCUGGUUAGUGUUCACUGUCCACUUGGCACACUCUCGGGACAUCCGGGAAGAGGAGCCUGCGGCAUAUCCCUGGGGCAUCAGAUUGAUUGCAGGUUGAUGCAGGUAAGCCCAGCCCGCUGCAGGACGCUGGCCUUAGUCAGCUGAACUUGAACAGGUUGAAGGACCCAUUAGCCUUAGUCCAUGGUUUAUGCUUCAGUGCGUGCCUGUUCCUGUCUUGAUUUCUCUCAGCGAUGGCUUGUAACCUAAUGAAAGGAUUACGAUCCCAUCCUCC
rnacentral:lncRNA from 1 species